rnacentral:lncRNA from 1 species
UAAAAGGCUUGCUUAACAUUAAAGUGUUCUGUUCCUUUUGGACAAGAAAAUAGUAGUACGUCCAAGUCUUGUACAUAGGACAUUGCUAUUCAAAACAAUUGAAGCAGAAGCGAGAUUAAGUUUAAAAAGGAAGCUUCAUAGAUCAGAUGCAGUAUUUCGUACAUAUUUCUCAGAAGCAGAAGCUUCAUUUCAUUCAAAAAUUCAAGGAACAGGUAUGUUAAGGCCCUCCCUUCUUUCUUUUGGCAUGGUCCAAAUUAUAUUGAAGAAACGAGCAAACACAUAGUUUUAAUAAAUUACUUUAUUCAUAGAAAUAGUAGGGGUGUCUAUAUUCUUGAUUCCCCAUGAGAAUUAUUAUUAUCUUCUGUUCAUGGGUCUCAGAAUAAUACGCAAUUGGAAAAGUUUAUCCAGGAGGAAUAUUGAGGUUAUUACGUAUUUUUCAUGCAUUUCUCUCAUUUAUACAUGUGCAUUGACCCAUGACCAGAUGGCAUUAUAUACGCGUAUAUAUGUAUAUGGGAUAUAGGAAAAGGUUACAGCGUUAUAUAUGCACCACCACCUGAUCAGGUGGUAUAUGUUGAUAAUAUUGCCCACAGUGGCCGAGACGAUAUGAUGGGAUGCCCUCAGCGGCUUGAUGAUAUUAUGUACACCCAUACCUAUGCAUGGCACGAUAUUUGUACGCAUGUGCAUGACAUUAUAAACGUUUCAGAAUUUACAAAGUUAUUCAGAUUUAAAGAUCUGUUUCCUUAUUCCAUAUUUCAUCAAUGUCUUUUACGUAAUAAUUUCCAUUCCUAACAUACUUAGUACAUUUUUUGUAAUGACGCCCUAUUUCACGGGGCCUGCAUUUCAUGCCCGCAGGUGUAGUUAGGCAAGCUGAUGGUCCCCCUUCUUAAGAUCCCUGAUCAGCGAGAGUUAACGUGCUCUACUUGAUCCGGAGCUGCUUUUGAUUUUGGUAUGAUAUGUUUAUAUAUAUGUAUAUAUGUAUAUGGGAAUGACGUGGCUCAGUCCCGUCUUUGUACAAUUAAAUUUCUAUUAGAGGUCUGCAGAUAGUAUGUCUAGUUGGAUUGUAUGUGGCAUUGCCGGCUUUCAGUUUUGGAUGUAUAGUUGUCUGUAGCGGCCUUGCCGGCUCGCCC